rnacentral:rRNA from 1 species
CGUUGUUCGGAAUUACUGGGCGUAAAGGGCGCGUAGGCGGUUCGUUAAGUCCUGUGUGAAAUCCCCCGGCUCAACUGGGGAACUGCACAGGAAACUAGCGGGCUUGAGUUCGGGAGAGGGUAGUGGAAUUCCCGGUGUAGCAGUGAAAUGCGUAGAGAUCGGGAGGAACAUCCGUGGCGAAGGCGACUACCUGGACCAGCACUGACACUGAGGCACGAAAGCGUGGGGAGCAAACAGG